CUCCACGUAGCGCGCCGGCUUCGGCCUCUGGGGGAGUGGUCUCAAGCGCCAGGGGUGAAGCGGCUGUCCCCGCCCGCUGCACCUGCGCUUCAGGCCGAGCUGUUCGUGAGAGGUGGGCCCCUGGAAGCGGACGUGCCCCGGGAAGCCGCUGAACCUUCGCGGUGUCGGUGAAACCUGAGUUUUAAUUCUGACUACCGCGGUGCAAGGGCUCUCAGGUGGCGGGGUCGCUGCACUGCGCCGCAAACGGUUUUACUUAGCACAGUCCUACGUUGAUUCUGCAUCAGUGUCUCGGGCUGCUCUAUGCCCUCCGCUGGGGUAGGGGCUCAGGAUACACAGAUAGAAGCGAUGGGCAGCAAACCCGUGUCCAGGCAAGAAACACACGUUGUUACUCUCCGCAGUAGUCAUUUUCCCUGGUAACUUUACAAGGCGUCACUGAAAUCCUGCCUUCUCUAAUACUCCAAGCGCCUGGUUCAGGAAGCCGAUGUAACCCAUGAAGUUAAAACACAGAACACCUUUAAGAAAUAAUAACUCAGUAAAGGACAGCGGGACAACUUAUUAUGAAGAAAUGCUUUCCUAACAGAAACUCUUCUAUGGUGUUGGUAGCACUACCUGUGCAAGUCCCCAUCCCUCUCAGCCCUGUUACACGAGUGGGUGCACACAGCGGAGUGUCCCGCCUCGCUUGCUUUGCUUCCCAGAGGAAGAAAAGUCACGUGACUUACAGGAGGGGUCACCACAGAGUGCACUGUUUGUGACUGGAACAUUGGGAAUGCUUCCACUAUGGAGAACCUGAUGGCACCAGGCAAUAGUAGUUCUCCCUGAAAUCUGAAUGCUUUCAAAAGAAAAUUGCAUCCCAUUCUGGCCUCUUCCAGCCUUCUCUCCAUUUCUCUCGGACACAACCCAGCCCUCACCUCAGAGCUGCUGUGCUUGUCGUUUCUUCAGGCCGGUCUCUCGCCCCUCACCUUUGCAGGGCCGCCUCAGGAAUUACCAGGUGUCUGCGUGAAGGUCACCUCUGCGCAGGCCUUUCCUUGCAUCCAGAACGAGCGGUCCUCCCUCUCAAUCACACUCCAGUGCAUCACCCUGUUUGUCUUCGGAGCUCACAGAACAAGCACAGUUCUUUACAUGUUGUGAAGUUAUGCUCAUGAAAGGUUUCCUCUGUGUAACAGCCAGCCAGAAUGCAAGGACAAGAGCACAUUAUCUGACUCAUGACUCUUAUUUCCAAGGACCCAGAACCACGCCUGGCACACAGGGAGUGCUCGGAUGUUUUGCUGAAUGAGUGAAUGAAUGCCACAGUGAUCGUUUCUUGCUAGCAGCCCGAGACAGGCUGCCGUUCCCAACACAGAAAGCACUGGAACGAUGGUGGGGGAGAACAGGGCACAGCAAAGGGUGGUAGCCCCGUUGAAAGAGCCCUCCCAGCAAGGGGGUGGCCAACAGACUUCUGGGGCAGGGAUAUCAAACGAGCAAAGGGAAGGGAGCGAGGAGAAUGUUAGGGAGCACCCGGGGGGUGGGAAAGACCCAAAGGAGGCCUGCUAGGACCACAGUGUGUAAAGGGGAAACGUCGAGAGAGUAGGUCAGCCCAACCCAAAUUACUUAAAGAAUGAACUUUUUUUUUUUUUUUUAAAGAUUUUAUUUAUUUGACAGAGAUCACAAGUAGGCAGAGGAGCAGGCAGAGAGAGCGGAGGAAGCAGGCUCUCUGCUGAUGCGGGGCUCAAUUCCAGGACCCUGGGAUCAUGACCUGAGCCAAAGGCAGAGGCUUUAACCCACUGAGCCACCCAGGCGCCCCUAAAGAAUGAACUUUUGAGCCUUUGGUGACAAAAUGGUUAAAGAGUCCCCAAACAUGCAAAUCUUGGGGAUAAAGACAACCCUCAAAUUCCCUUUUAUAUCAACUAACGUAUAAAAUGGGUCUUCAACUUAAAAUUCAUGGGGCCCACAAGUAGGUAUUGAUGAGAUCAGAGCCAUUUGGUGGCAUCCAAAUUCAACGAAACGGUCCUUCUAAGCACAAAGCUAGGAGGUUUUGCUAAGAUUCAUGUAAUCAGUUUGAACAUUUUAUAUUUCAAUAUUCUUGCCCAACCCUAAUUAAGGAUAAAAUGGAUAUAUAACCCUCAUUAUGAUUUGAGGAUUCUAGAACCCUCGAUCCGUCCAAGUGUUCGAAUUACUACAGUUGGAUUCUGGUGUCCAGAGUUGGAGGAGGAAAAAACAGCACUCCUAAAAAAUUGUUACCAACGUGCUUUGUUUGGCCCUCAGGGUUAUAGAAGCAAUGGAGCAACCAUUUAAAAAUCAGAUUUCAAGUAAAAUUUUGGACCUAGCAUCUCUAAGAAAAGAUGAGAGGUUCCAGUAAUAGUGGGCCCUUGGGCAGCAGUGAGCUGGAAUGGAUUAUCAGUGCCCCACCCCUUUUAUUUGUCACAAACUGCCCAUAAAACAAGCCUCUCAUACUUGAAUCUGCAUGUGAUUCCUUGGGGGUCUUGUUAAAAACACAGGUCCUGAGUUAGUAGGUGUGGCCUAAAGCUCUGCAUUUCUGGAAAGCUCUCAGGUGGUGCAGAGGCAGCUGGUCUUCCCACCAUCCUUUGCUUAAUUAGCAAGGCUAGGAAUUAACCCAUCAACACAAAUAAAAACAGAAAUAAAAAAGCAAACAUUAUCUUUAUUUAAUAAUCUUUGAUAUUUAAAAUACAACUCAUCGAACAUCCACAUUAACAAUAGAAUCCUCAGUGUUCAACAGUGCUUUGGAAGCCCGGCUUUUCUAAGGACCAGACAGGAAGACCUGUGUGUGUAGUAACUGCAACAGAACUUGGAGGGAGGGCACACACAGAGAGGGCUACGGAGUUAGGUCCUGAGCAAAUGGCACCGCCACAGUGCACUGGUGUCAUGGCCAAAAGACAAUGCUUUUCAGGUGUUUUCUUUGUACUUGAAUUUCAAAUAGUUUAUACAGAACAGUAAUUUUUACAAAGUUAUUUCUAGUAGUCCAGUGUUAUAGAAAUUAAUUUUUCACAUUCCAAUGUACAUCUUUCUCUUUAAAAAAAAAUUUUAAAAAGUUCCUGGAGACAUUCACCUUUGAACUAUGCAAGAAGGUGAAGUGCUUCCUAAACGAGUCAGGAAUUUUUACAUACAUUUCACUAUUGCUUCCCAUUCCUUGUCUAUGAAUCCACAGUCUUAAUAUAUUUACUGAUACACUAUUGUUAAACAUGCCAAUUACUGUAAGUUUAGAAAUUGUAACUAGUAUUAAUUCUUAAAAUGCCAGAACAUUUUGCAAAAAUAAAAGCAAAGAUCUUCAAAUAAAAAAAAUAAAAAUUCAAGAAUUAAACAACUGUGUCAAUAAUCUUUUCAUUCAUGAAAGUAAAACGGAACAAAACAUUUUUGCUAAUGUAAGACUUUAAAAAAUACAAGCCAGUUUAUCUCUUUAGCAGAAGAUGCUGCUUCAUAAAGGGGCCAGGAAUAAAGGAAAGGUUUUUUUUUUUUUUGAAAAUAUGAAAAAUUAUUGACACUGCUGAAAGGAUUAGUUAUCCAAUCUGUUUUUUCUUAAUUAAGGUCACA